GUGUGUGAAGAAGCAUCGAAGCGCGGCAGCCAUGUUCAGCGUGGCAUUUCGGAAGGCUUGUCAGGGGUGGAGAAGCGGGGCGGGUUGCUGUUCUUUCACCUGACACUAAAGCGCCAUGCCGGAAGCACUGAGUCUGAUACGUCGGAACCAGUCUCCACCGUGUGGUUUGGUCUUGAUUUCCACUGGUACUCUGGGGUCUUGGAUAAGUCUCUGGACCUCGCCUUUGUCAUUUGCGAAGUCGAUAGGUUCCAAUAGAGAUUUUCCCAGAAUCAUUCAACUAAAAAUAGAGAACUUUUUUUUUUUGAGAGGAAGGACGGGGGCGCAGUUAAAGAUGUUAAUGUUAAGUCAUCCCUUCUGUGAUUUCGGGACAUUAUCUUUGCACGCCAUGUGAAGAUGUGCUUGCUUCCUUGUCACCUUCCGCCAUGAUUGUAAGUUUCCUGAGGCCUCCCAGGAAGCAGAAGCCUGUACAGCCCACAGAACCAUGACCUGAUGAAAUCUCUUUUCUUUAUAAAUUACCCAGUCUCAGGCAGAAGGUGGAUCAACCUUAUUCAGCUCUUGCAAGGAAAGAGAAGGAAGAUGCUGGUGAGCUGGGCCCAUCUAGAUCUUGCUAUGCUUGUCAUUGUGUAAGCAGCAAACUUGCAGUGACCAGUUGGAUUCCACCCCCCUGAUGUUGGUGGUGUGCUCUUGGGGAGAUGUCUUCCAGACAGGCAAAGAAGAGUGACAUCAUCAGAGCAUGGACGACCUCAAAGAUAUUCCAGCUAUGGACAUUUCAAUUAUCCUCUGAAAUGGAAUAAUCCUCAUUGAAAGCAUGAUACUAGAAGCUCAUGAGGAUUAUUUUCAAAGAAAGCUGUGCAGAAGAGUUGGCUCAGCAGGCUUGGCAUGCUCAAACCAGCUCCUGGGAGAUAACCUACGAGCCCUUGGAAUAGUCUGUGCAAUAGGGUAUGUUUGUAUAUCCAGGACCUGGGUCUGCCAAAGAGUUUAUGCUAGCCAUGAAAUUUAUAAUGAACACCUGUUGUUGUUUACCUAGGGUCCUGGAGCACUCCAUAUCAGUUUGAUCUCUGGCUGGGGAGGAGCUGGAGAUUAAGUAUUUAAGAUCAGCCAUGUAGGUAUUCUGUGCCUACCUGACUGACCCCCAUUAAAGAGUCUGAACACCAAGUCUUGGGUGAGCUUCCCUGGUAAGCAAUACUUCAUGUGUGUUGUCAUGGUAGCAGGGAGAAUUAAGUAUCGCUUCUGUGAGUCCACUGGGAGAAGACAGCUGGAAACUUGUGCCUGCUCUCUCGGGGACUCCACCUCAUGCAUCUUUGGUCUUUGCUGA
ensembl:lncRNA FBXO38-DT FBXO38 divergent transcript